rnacentral:rRNA from 1 species
CCUACGGGUGGCUGCAGUAGGGAAUUUUGCGCAAUGGGCGAAAGCCUGACGCAGCAACACCGCGUGAAUGUUAAGCCCUUCGGGGAGUAAAGUUCUGUCAAUAGGGACGAAUUUUGACUGUACCUAUACAGGAAGCACCGUCUAACUCCGUACCAGCAGACGCGGUUAUACGGGGGGUGCAAGCGUUGUCCGGAGUCUUUGGGCGUAAGGGUUCGUUGGCGGGAAGGUAGGUCUGAUGGUAAAGCCCGGGGCUCAACUCCGGUUCGGCAUUGGAUACUUUCUAGCUAGAAUGUGGUAGAGGUAAAGGGAAUUCCUGGUGUAGCGGUGAAAUGCGUAGAUAUCAGGAGGAACAUCGGUGGCGAAAGCGCGUUACUGGACCAUUAUUGACGCUGAGGAACGAAAGCCAGGGGAGCAAAUGGGAUUAGAUACCCCUGUAGUC